UCUCAGCUUAUUUUGCGCAGCUUAGGUGGGAGGCUAUGAACCUUUCCUUCUGGGAAGAGGGGAGCCAUCAGUGAGAUACCACUCUUGGUAAGCUAGAGCGCUCAGUCUUCACCGUCAUCCGGUAAGACGACAGUUUCAGGCGGGCAGUUUGACUGGGGCAGUCACCUCCCAAAAGGUAAUGGAGGUGUGCAAAGGUUCCCUCAGGCUGGACGGGAAUCAGCCAUAGAGUGUAAAAGCAUAAGGGAGCUUGACUGCGAGACUGACAUGUCAAGCAGAGACGAAAGUCGGCUUUAGUGAUCCGACGGUGCUGUGUGGAAAGGCCGUCGCUCAACGGAUAAAAGUUACUCUAGGGAUAAC
rnacentral:rRNA from 1 species